GUCAGGAUGGCCGAGUGGUCUAAGGCGCCAGACUCAAGUUCUGGUCUUUGAGAAGAGGGCGUGGGUUCAAAUCCCACUUCUGACA
rnacentral:tRNA from 1 species